rnacentral:rRNA from 1 species
GAUGAACGCUAGCGGCAGGCUUAAUACAUGCAAGUCGAACGGUAAGUUUGGUAGCAAUAUCAAACCAAGAGUGACGUACGGGUGCGUAACACGUAUGCAACCUACCUUGUACAGGAGUAUAGCUCGGGGAAACUCGAAUUAACCCUCCAUGAGAUCAUAGAAUGGCAUCAUUUAGUGAUUAAAACUCAGGUGGUACAAGAUGGGCAUGCGUCUGANAGUUAGUUGGCGGGGUAAUGGCCCACCAAGACGAUGAUCAGUAGGGGACCUGAGAGGGUGAUCCCCACA